rnacentral:rRNA from 1 species
CCUACGGGAGGCAGCAGUGGGGAAUAUUGGGCAAUGGGCGCAAGCCUGACCCAGCAACGCCGCGUGAAGGAAGAAGGCUUUCGGGUUUUAAACUUCUUUUGUCAGGGACGAAGCAAGUGACGGUACCUGACGAAUAAGCCACGGUUAACUAGGUGCCAGCAGCCGCGGUAAUACGUAGGUGGCAAGCGUUAUCCGGAUUUACUGGGUGUAAAGGGCGUGUAGGCGGGGAAGAAAGUCAGAUGUGAAAACCACGGGCUCAACCUGUGGCCUGCAUUUGAAACUGUUUUUCUUGAGUGCUGGUGAGGCGGUAGGAAUGUCGGGUGUAGCGGUGAAAUGCGUAGAUAUACGAAGGAACACCAGUUGCGAAGGCGGAUUGCUGGACAGUAACUGACGCUGAGGCGCGAAAGCGUGGGGAGCAAACAGGAUUAGAUACCCCUGUAGUC